GGCAAAAUUUAAAGAAUACCGAUGCUUCAAGAGUUUGUUAUUAUUUUCACCCACAGAUAUACCUCUAUUUUCCACAAGAACAGCAAGCAAAAGAGAAGACAGGGAGGCACUCAGAGGAUGGGGAUUCUCCAAAGGUGAAAUGCAAGCUUAAGCAGUUUAAAUGUGUUGAUUUCAAAUGGGAUAUGAGCAGCAAGUGCAAAUUAUAAAUCAUCCUGGUUAGCCUACUGAGAUCAGUGAGGAGAAGAGAAUGGGAGGAUCAGAACACAAAUGAAGUCACUGAUUACUUGGUUGCAGCCAAGAGGGAGAAAUUCUACUUUGGAACACUGACGUCAAGGCCAGUUGGUGAGCCAUAGAAAGGCAGAUUUCCUUGGAAGAAAGAAAUCUUCUUCCAAAGAAGACUUCCAUAGGGUACUGUUACAGUAACCCAGACAGGAGAUGUUAAGGUCUGAACCUGGGUAUUAGUAGUUAGGGAGGAAAUAAAAUUGAGAAAUAUUACACUAUGUAAUUAGAGGGCACACCAAAUGGUUGAGUGGGAGGUGUCAAAGAGAGGUGGAUCAGAGUU
rnacentral:lncRNA from 10 species